CUGUUGUGGUCGAGUGAUUUUAGU
rnacentral:siRNA from 1 species